rnacentral:rRNA from 1 species
UACGUAGGGCGCAAGCUAUCGAUUCGAUCUGGGUUUAAAGGGUGCGCAGGCGGAUAUGUAAGUCAGUGGUGAAAUCUCCGGGCUUAACCCGGAACUGCCGUUGAUACUAUAUAUCUUGAAUGCUGUGGAGGUAAGCAGAAUAUGUCAUGUAGCGGUGAAAUGCUUAGAGAUGACAUAGAAUACCUAUUGCGAAGGCAGCUUACUACGCAGAUAUUGACGCUCAUGCACGAAAGCGUGGGGAGCGAACAGG